GUGCUCGCUUUGGCAGCACAAUACUAAAAUUGGAAGGAUACAGAGAAGAUUACUAGCAUGGCCCCUGCACAAGGAUGUCACGCAAAUUCAUGAAGCGUUCAAUAUUUUU
ensembl:snRNA U6 U6 spliceosomal RNA